rnacentral:rRNA from 1 species
CCUACGGGAGGCAGCAGUGGGGAAUAUUGCGCAAUGGGCGAAAGCCUGACGCAGCGACGCCGCGUGUGGGAUGACGGCCUUCGGGUUGUAAACCACUGUCGGGAGGGACGAAGCUCUGACGGUACCUCCAAAGGAAGCACCGGCUAACUCUGUGCCAGCAGCCGCGGUAAUACAGAGGGUGCAAGCGUUGUCCGGAAUCACUGGGCGUAAAGGGCGCGUAGGCGGCCUGAUAAGUCGGGGGUGAAACGCUGCGGCUCAACCGCAGCACUGCCUUCGAGACUGUUGGGCUUGAGCACGGUAGAGGCUGGUGGAAUUCCCGGUGUAGCGGUGGAAUGCGUAGAGAUCGGGAAGAACAUCGGUGGCGAAGGCGGCCAGCUGGGCCGUUGCUGACGCUGAGGCGCGACAGCGUGGGGAGCAAACAGGAUUAGAUACCCUGGUAGUCCACGCCGUAAACGAUGGGUACUAGGCGUCGGGGGGAGCGACCCCCUCGGUGCCGUCGCUAACGCAGUAAGUACCCCGCCUGGGGAGUACGGUCGCAAGACUGAAACUCAAAUGAAUUGACGG